GACAAUAAAAAUUGUGAUUCGUGAAGACGUGAACACGUUUUUUCAAAUUCAAUAACAAAAAGAAAUAGCUACUCUGAAAAUAAUUCUUAAUUCAGUUUUCAAACUUAAAUAAACAAAUUAUUAAUCAUGUCUUUAUUAAUACGUACAGAUGUUACGGCUGUUAAAAUUUUCAAAAACUACGUUCUUGCCGGUAUUGGAAGCACUAUAAAUGUAUUCGAUAAAGCUUCGGCGAGAUUAAUUACGAAGUUUCAAUGUUUAAAAAGCCAAAAAAUAUAUGGUUUUGUAGUAUCUAAUUGCGGUAAUAAAAUACUCGUGUUUGGCGGAAAACAGUUCACAGUUUUAUCUUUUACGCACUCGCAUUAUGAGGAGACAUUUAAGAGAAACUUCGAACCUAUAAUAUGCGAUGAUUGGCUUCAUUCCGGAGUUUGGCUGAAAGAAGAUAUUGUUAUUUUAUUAACUGCUCAUAAUGUUACUCAGAAAUGGAACUUAUCAACACAGUCCUUCAUAUCUCAAGAAGCAGGCAAAGAAAACUCAAUAUUAUACAGUGGACUUAUUGUAAUGCUGCAAGAUGCAAUUAUGGUCCUAGCUGGGACUGUGUUCUCAGAUGUCAUCGUGCAUAGUAAUACUGUUAAGGAACCUCUACAUUAUUUGAGAGGACACAAGGGUGUCAUAUUCUCCAUAUCGUGUGAUACAGAUAAAGGUUUAAUAGUAACAACUUCAGAUGACAGAUCAGUCAGGAUUUGGAGCACAAAUAUCAUAACAGCAAAUGCGCAUAUGCUACAAUAUUGGAAGGACCAUGAAAUAACAUGCAAAUAUGAACUGUACGGGCAUUCGGCACGAGUCAUGAGAAACUGCAUCACAAAUAAUAUAGUUAUAUCAGUAGGAGAAGAUUCCGCUAUAUGCUUUUGGAAUUUGAAUGGAGAACUAAUAAAAAAGAAUAACUCACAUCAGUAUUCUGGUAUAUGGUCAAUAGAUGCUGAUAAGAAUCACCUGGUGACUGGUGGAGGUGAUUGUGCAGUUAUACUGCAUCCACUAACAACUAAUAAUGGCAUUGUUCACAACAUUUUAAACUUUGGAACUCAGAGAAAAGUUAUGUUCACUGCGAAAAGAAAUUUAAUAAUGUUGGAUGAUAAAAAUUUGUUGCACCAUAACACAAACGAGAAAUCAUCUAAGGUUUAUGAAUUAAGUCACGAGUCCACAUACAAAAUGCUGAGUUUAUCAUCAUGCAAGCAAAUUAUUGCCGUUGCCGAUAUGAAAGGAAAACUUGAUGUCUUUGUUGAAAACUGUAAGAAUGGACACUUAACAAAAAUAAUUGACACAAAAUUGCAAUUAGGAAAGAUAUUAUCAAUGCAGUGGGCUGGCAACAGACAUGUAAUUAUUUGUUCUGAAAAUGGUGCAAUAACAGUGUUAGCUGCAAAUGGGGAAAAUACAGAAGUUUAUGCCAAUUUCAUUUUGCCUCCUUGCAAAGAAAGAUGGCUUACGGCCACAGCUUUAAACAAUAAAAAUGAUGUAUUUGCUUUAGGAGACAGGUGUGGUAGUAUCCAUAUUUAUGUUAAAGGAAAAUGUAAUCCAAUCAAAAGCUUUAAGAAAGUACACGGAAGAUAUGGUCCAACAUCAAUUAAAUUUAACAGCAAUGAACUUGUGUCAACCGGAAGAGAUGGGACAAUCAAAUAUUUCAAAAUCGAUAUUCACAACGAAAUUAUAUUUAUGAGGAGUAGGGUCUUAGAGUUUCAGUGGGUUGAGGAAUUCUUGAAUACCGAUGAAACAUUGAUAUGUGGUUUUCAAGAAAGACUUUUUGUGAUUUAUGACCUGACAGACAACUCCAAAGUACUUGAAGUGACAUGUGGAGGAGGUCACAGGUCGUGGGACGCAGUGCGUUUCAUAGAGAAAGUCAAUGACGACUUCGAACAAUUUGUUAAUUUCAUUUAUUUGAAAAAUUCUGAAAUACAUCUAUUGAAGUUUCAACUGAGUAAAAUUGUGGCAAAGAAUUUAGUGAACGGAUCACAUUCUAACAACAUAAACUGCUUAAAAGUCUUAGUUAGUGAUAGAUCGAAAACAAUUUACGUAUCAGGGGGAGAAGACACAACAGUAAGAAUAUCGACCACAGACAAUCAACUCAAUUUUAAAGACGUCUUAACAUUUAAACAGCUGUCAAACGUCAGAACCCUUAAAUUGCAACCUGUAGAUGACAACAAUAGUGUAAUUUUUACAGCUGGAGGCCGUGCACAAAUAUGUAUAAAAAAAUGUACUAUAAAAGAAAAUGAAAUUAAGACCCAAGAUUUAAUUGAGUACAUGAUAAAGGGUACAGAUAAGGAGAGGAAAGGUAAUCAGACGUGGCGGAAUUGCACAAUAGAUUGCGAUCCAGAGACAAGGAUCAUGGAUAUUGCAGUUUUGAAGAAUACUGAUUACUUCAUUUUCACCGGAUGUUCCGACGCUUGUCUGCGAGUUUUGAAAUAUGAAUUACUAAUCAAUAAAAUAACAUUAAUCAAUACAAUUAGUCACCAUGACACAUGUAUUUUAAAAACCCUUUGUUUCCGGCUGUUGGACAGAGACUUCUUGGUGACAGCCACAACAAGAGGUCUGUUCUCGAUAUGGCUAGCUUCUGACCUGCUGAAAGAGAACCCUGCGCCGUUUUUCUCAAUAAAAACGAACAAAUCCGGAAUAAAUAGUAUAAGUUGUUAUAAUAUAUCAAAGAACGAAGUUUUACUAGCCACGGCAGGUGAUGAUAAUACCAUCUACAUGACAUCAAUAGAGAUAAACAUCCAAGAUAACUUGCCCUCGGCGGUCGUCAAAUAUUGUUGGAGCUCUGAUCAGUUUCACAGCUCCCAGAUAACUGGUUUAUGGUUGGGCAAUGGCUUGCUACUCAGUACAUCGGUCGACCAGAGGGUAACUAUGUACAGCUGGACUGUUGAUGACGGUUUACACUGCUGCUGUCUACGGCAAGGUGUUAGCGACGUGGCUGACAUACAAGGGAUGGAAAUGCUGGAAUGUACGAGUGAUCACAUAAAGCUGUGUGUCUUCGGCAAAGGAAUGGAAGUCCUUCAGCUGCAACAUACAAACACAUAAUGUUAUGAGAGUCCUUAACACUCCAGUUGUCUGGGAAUGAACAACUAGUGCACAACAUAAUGAUGGCGCCGCAGUUACAAGCUGUGACGGAGCCGGUGUGGCUCGGCGAGGGCCCACACUGGGACCACAACGAGCAGGCCCUAUACUUUGUCAGCAUCUUCGACGAGACCAUACAUAAGUACGUGCCAGAAACGGGGAAACAU